UGAUAAAGCCAGCAGGUUUGAAUUUUGAGACACUACAAUUGUCAAGGAGGUCACAGCAGGAACAUCCCUUCUAUGCAUUCCAGGGUCCCCUGAACCAGCAUACGUGUGACUGGCAAAAUCCACAGCACUGCAUGGAAACACCACUACCAAGAAGCCCAUCAGGUUUGUUUUAGCAUUCAAACAGAAGCUGAAGACCAGAGAGUCCAGGUGGCAGGUGUUUGCUUCUAACCUGCAGGGGAAGAAAAGAAAAAUGAGAAGAAUUUAAUUUCCCUGCAAAAAUUGAGAGCAGCUGCUGCUUACUCUUUGAGACAUCAGACCUGAGGUUGGUUCUCUGAGCUCCUCUGACUGUCGGAGAAGAAAGGUUAUAUUGGAAUUAUGCUUCAAAGAUUAAAACUGGUUCUCUUCUGUUUUUGAAUGAAUUACAAUGAAUAUAUCUGGCAUUUUAAAUUUGUCUUACCUCCUCCAUUAUCUUUUCUGUAGUUCGCUUUUCGAAUGACAGAGUGAUUUAUUGAGUGUCUUUUAAAAGUUCCAUUUCACCAAACUAAUGGUGAAUAUAAAAAUCUGCCACUUGACCUAAC
rnacentral:lncRNA from 1 species